rnacentral:rRNA from 1 species
AGUGAACGCUGGCGGCAUGCCUAACACAUGCAAGUCGAACGGCAGCACAGUAAGAGCUUGCUCUUACGGGGGGCGGGUCGCGGGCGUGUGAGGUAUAUAUCCGAAUCUACAUUUUCGGGGGAGAUCACGUAGCGAAACUUACUCUAAUAUCGUAUUCGAUGUUGAGGUGAAAGCGGGGGAUCUUCGCACUUUGCGCGCUUGCAUGAGCCGAUGUCGGGUUAGCUAGUUGGCGGGGUAAAGGCCCACAAAGGCGACGAUCCGUAGCUGGUCUGAGAGGAUGAUCAGCCACACUGGAACUGAGACACGGUCCAGACUCCUACGGGAGGCAGCAGUGGGGAAUAUUGGAAAAUGGGGGCAAGCCUGAUCCAGCAAGCCCGCGUGGGUGAAGAAGGCCUUCGGGUUGUAAAGCCCUUUUGUUGGGAAAGAAAAGCAUCAGGUUAAUACCCCGCUGUUCUGACGGUACCCGAAGAAUAAGCACCGGCUAACUACGUG